rnacentral:lncRNA from 1 species
CUAGAUCUUAAGUAAUGUAUAGUUGCCGUCUUGUUACAAUUAACACUGUAUGACAAGCCGUGCAUGAGAUUCAACAGGCGUUCAUUAAAGGUUAGAUCCAAGAUGCUGUAUCUCUUCAUCUCCUCACUCUCCUUCUUUCUCCCAAAGCACUGUUCAUGUUUAUACGGUGCUUUACAUUUUUAAAGCACUCUGCAAACAUUAACUAAUUAAUCCUCACAGCCCACUAUACAUAUGCUUUAAUUAAUUAGCUCUCAUUUACUUAACUCACACUGUCUCAUUAAAUAUAAAUUGAAUGUAUGUUUGGGAACUUUAACUAGAAACAUUACUGGGGAUUUAUACAAAGCACGAAUGCAAAAUAUGUUAAUAGUAGCUGGAGGCAGCAAAAUUCAAGUAUCAAGGUAUUUAGCAAAAAAUACGUUGUGGUGUCAGUGAGCAGACUCAGACAAUUAGCUGUUCCUAUAAAAUGCAUAUGUUGUCACGGCCUUGAAGUCAUCGCUCACUCUGCGUUGUUGCCAUAGCAAUCCUGGUAAUUUGCAUCCCAUAAUGCCCAUCUAUGCACUUUGUUCCAUUAGUUUAAUUUUUCAGACUUGCAGAAGCUUGGUGCUGUGUGGGCUGGAAGCUGGCUGUGAGUUGCUCGGAUCUGGAGAGCACGGAUACAGGCAUGUAAAUGCCAGUGCUCGGACUGGCUGUGGACACUGGGUAGCCUGCUGCAUGACAACCCCUCAGCAAAGCAGCACUAAGACCGUGGAAGUCCUCAAAGGAAUCUCAGGGAAAGCAAGAGGAAGUCUACGUCAACCCUCAAAGCUUGGCAGAAGCAAACACGACAGAGCAUGCAUUGAUUUCUUAGAGAAACAAAGAAGAAACCAGGCUGUUCACAGAAAAUCUCCCUCUUUGCUCUGCAGCAACAAUUGGGCUGAGCAAGUUCUCCCCACCCUGCUGUGGUUAAAUGCACGGGGACCUUCAGCUACGCGUGCGUGGCUUCACCUGCAGCAGCUCCCAGGACAGGCUGGCUCAGCUCCUGAGAGCAAGGACAGCAGUUCCUUCAGACAGGCAUGUGGUGCUAUCAGCGGGUCUGCUCUAAAGCCCAGUGAAGGUGAAGAACAGGUCCUUUGCUGA